rnacentral:lncRNA from 1 species
CCGCGUUCCCCGCAGGCCCUGGGACGUGGCGCGGCCUGCGCGGGCCGCUCACCCACCUUGCGCACGCGGCGGGCCGUGUAGAGCCCCAUCCCGUCCUGGACCCGGGACGACUUCAGGGCGAACCUGUCUGGUGCUUUUGUUGGGUUAUUUUAUUACAGCAACUGAAAAAGCAACUCAGAUACCAAGGGUCUGUAAGAGAUUCCUUAGAAGACACUGUCUGUCGGUUGCGGAAGAGAAUGGAAUGCUAUAUCCAGAAUGUUGAAAGAAAAGGAAGCCAUUAAAAUCCAUUAAUCCAUGGACUCAUCACAGGUGCCCUCUAGACAUGAACAAGAAAUAACAUUUUUUUUCCUCAGUCAAGAGAAUCUAAGAAAACUCACUGCCACUAGACCAAUAUUAAGGGGAUAUAUAAGUGAAUUCUAAACCUAGAUAUGAAAGGAUGGUAGUUAUCAUUGUGACAGUGUGGAAUGCACUGGUAAAGCAGACACCCAAGUGAAAAAGAAAGCACCAGUCAACAAAGACAAAGAAAGAGUAAGAAGAGGAAAGGCUAUUUGGCGACUAUUAACAUCGUGGCAAAGGCUGGCCUCAAGGACAUUUGUCCAGAGAUAACCUUGAACUUCUGAUCCUCCUGCUUCUACUUUCCAAGUGUAGAGAUUGCUGGCCUGUGCCAUACACCCGGCUUGAACUUGGGGUCUUGUGCAAAAGGGCACUCUGUUUCCCAGCUGAGAUAUAUUCGUAAACCCUCCUUUUAGCUCACUUUUGACAAUAUCCUCAAUAAAGAAUGGUUUGUCUAUCCAUUCAAGUUAUU